rnacentral:rRNA from 1 species
GUACAAGCAGUGGGAGCACAGAGCAAUCUGUGUGACUGCGUACCUUUUGUAUAAUGGGUCAGCGACUUAUAUUCUGUAGCAAGGUUAACCGAAUAGGGGAGCCGAAGGGAAACCGAGUCUUAACUGGGCGUUAAGUUGCAGGGUAUAGACCCGAAACCCGGUGAUCUAGCCAUGGGCAGGUUGAAGGUUGGGUAACACUAACUGGAGGACCGAACCGACUAAUGUUGAAAAAUUAGCGGAUGACUUGUGGCUGGGGGUGAAAGGCCAAUCAAACCGGGAGAUAGCUGGUUCUCCCCGAAAGCUAUUUAGGUAGCGCCUCGUGAAUUCAUCUCCGGGGGUAGAGCACUGUUUCGGCAAGGGGGUCAUCCCGACUUACCAACCCGAUGCAAACUGCGAAUACCGGAGAAUGUUAUCACGGGAGACACACGGCGGGUGCUAACGUCCGUCGUGAAGAGGGAAACAACCCAGACCGCCAGCUAAGGUCCCAAAGUCAUGGUUAAGUGGGAAACGAUGUGGGAAGGCCCAGACAGCCAGGAUGUUGGCUUAGAAGCAGCCAUCAUUUAAAGAAAGCGUAAUAGCUCACUGGUCGAGUCGGCCUGCGCGGAAGAUGUAACGGGGCUAAACCAUGCACCGAAGCUGCGGCAGCGACACUGUGUGUUGUUGGGUAGGGGAGCGU